AAUGGAAAGAAGGCUGGCUAUGGAAUCAGAAGACAUGGUCUCAAGACCUAACUCUGGGGCUUCCCAGGGAGCUGACAACAACCUCAGGUCCUGCUGAUUUUAAAGGGAAUAGAAAGUGUGGAUCUGCUUCAAACGGGAUAUGGAAAAAGAAGAUGAACAUGUGCAAAGGAGGAAUUCCAGAAGGUUGGGGACACAGGAACACCUUUAGACAGUGCUCUGAUGGCAUCUCAUCAAUUCAGAAUGUCACUGCCUAAAUUACUACCUGUCUUCAGACCCGGGUAUAGACCACCCAGGACCCUCUACCUAAGAGCCCCAGGAACAGCUGCACUCCCCAGACCACUAACCAAGCUCGCAGCCUGACCCCGACAACCAUGGUCCUAUGGGGCAAUCCUUGUGAAGAAAACCUGCUUCAACAGGAGCCUCAGCUCCUAAAGACCCAGAAAAAGAAAAUUCUUGGUAGCUUUGACACUACCAAAUGGUUCAAUAUCAGAAAGAAGUUUUAUCAGGGGAAAUACAAAUAUAGAAGAGGCAUUAUCAUUUGACCCUAGG